GACGAACGCUGGCGGCGUGCCUAAUACAUGCAAGUCGAGCGGACGGAAGGGAGCUUGCUCCCGGAAGUCAGCGGCGGACGGGUGAGUAACACGUGGGUAACCUGCCUGUAAGACUGGGAUAACUCCGGGAAACCGGGGCUAAUACCGGAUAGCUUCUUCCUCCGCAUGGAGGAAGAAUGAAAGGCGGCCUUUGGCUGUCACUUACAGAUGGACCCGCGGCGCAUUAGCUAGUUGGUGGGGUAACGGCUCACCAAGGCAACGAUGCGUAGCCGACCUGAGAGGGUGAUCGGCCACACUGGGACUGAGACACGGCCCAGACUCCUACGGGAGGCAGCAGUAGGGAAUCUUCCGCAAUGGACGAAAGUCUGACGGAGCAACGCCGCGUGAGUGAAGAAGGUUUUCGGAUCGUAAAGCUCUGUUGUCAGGGAAGAACAAGUACCGGAGUCACUGCCGGCACCUUGACGGUACCUGACCAGAAAGCCACGGCUAACUACGUGCCAGCAGCCGCGGUAAUACGUAGGCGGCAAGCGUUGUCCGGAAUUAUUGGGCGUAAAGCGCGCGCAGGCGGCCUUUUAAGUCUGAUGUGAAAGCCCACGGCUCAACCGUGGAGGGUCAUUGGAAACUGGAAGGCUUGAGUGCAGAAGAGGAGAGCGGAAUUCCACGUGUAGCGGUGAAAUGCGUAGAGAUGUGGAGGAACACCAGUGGCGAAGGCGGCUCUCUGGUCUGUAACUGACGCUGAGGCGCGAAAGCGUGGGGAGCGAACAGGAUUAGAUACCCUGGUAGUCCACGCCGUAAACGAUGAGUGCUAAGUGUUGGAGGGUUUCCGCCCUUCAGUGCUGCAGCUAACGCAUUAAGCACUCCGCCUGGGGAGUACGGCCGCAAGGCUGA
rnacentral:rRNA from 1 species